rnacentral:rRNA from 1 species
UGCCAGCCGCCGCGGUAAUACGGGGGGUGCAAGCGUUAUUCGGAUUUAUUGGGCGUAAAGCGCGCGUAGGCGGCUGGGUAAGUCUGGUGUGAAAACGCUACUGCUCAACAGAGCGAUUGCAUUGGAUACUGCCCAACUUGAGUGCGGGAGAGGUGAGCAGAAUACCUGGUGUAGCGGUGGAAUGCGUAGAUAUCAGGUAGAAUACCAGUGGCGAAGGCGGCUCACUGGCCCGCAACUGACGCUGAGGUGCGAAAGCGUGGGGAGCGAACGGGAUUAGAUA